GCAGUAGCCGCGGUAAUACAGAGGGUGCGAGCGUUAAUCGGAUUUACUGGGCGUAAAGCGUGCGUAGGCGGCUUUUUAAGUCGGAUGUGAAAUCCCUGAGCUUAACUUAGGAAUUGCAUUCGAUACUGGGAAGCUAGAGUAUGGGAGAGGAUGGUAGAAUUCGAGGUGUAGCGGUGAAAUGCGUAGAGAUCUGGAGGAAUACCGAUGGCGAAGGCAGCCAUCUGGCCUAAUACUGACGCUGAGGUACGAAAGCAUGGGGAGCAAACAGGAUUAGAUACCCCAGUAGUCCCUGUCUCUUAUAC
rnacentral:rRNA from 1 species